rnacentral:tmRNA from 2 species
GGGGGUGUCUCGGAAUUCGACUGUCAGUGGAAGUUGAGGGUAGCAAGCCGUGGGUGAUGAUCGAGGCCACGUAAAAACGACCAUCAAACCCUUAUCUGCACACAAUGCGGAUUAUGUUCCCGCUCGCGCAGCGCUUGCUGCGUAAUUCAUGAGCGGCGCUUGUCGAUGAGUUCGCCCGAGACGUGUCGACAAGUGUCAUUCAAUUCGGGCUGGCGUUCGUGAUCCUCCGUAGCGACCGCAAGAUCUCAGGAGGUGCCACGGACUGAGGUGGUCGGAGACCGACAUGUCCGGAAAAGCCGAAAACUUGCCGACUAUGCUUGUAGACGCCCCGAUGGAAACUCGUCAGGACGCGGGUUCGAUUCCCGCCACCUCCACCA